rnacentral:rRNA from 1 species
AUUGAACGCUGGCGGCAGGCCUAACACAUGCAAGUCGAACGAGUGGCGGACGGGUGAGUAAUGUCUGGGAAACUGCCUGAUGGAGGGGGAUAACUACUGGAAACGGUAGCUAAUAACGCAUACCAUCAGAUGUGCCCAGAUGGGAUUAGCUAGUUGGUGGGGUAACGGCUCACCAAGGCGACGAUCCCUAGCUGGUCUGAGAGGAUGACCAGCCCCACUGGAACUGAGACACGGUCCCGACUCCGACGGGCGGCAGCAGUGGGGAAUAUUUCUCAAUGGGCGCAAGCCUGAUGCAGCCAUGCCGCGUGUAUGAAGAAGGCCUUCGGGUUUUAAAGUACUUUCAGCGGUGAGGCGUUACCCGCAGAAGAAGCACCGGCUAACUCCGUGCCAGCAGCCGCGGUAAUAC